AGGAAGGAACCAGCUGUAAGGGAGGGCAGAGGGGGAUGUCUUGGAGGGGAAUCCCAGACUUUGGACACUGGUCUCUCUUGGGCCAAGACCCCCUCUCUGGCUUGGCCUCCAGAUCUGCCCACCUUUCUGUCUCCAUCUUUCCAGGAUUCCAUAUGCUUCUGUCUGUCUUCUCGUCGCAGGGUAGAUUCUCUGUCCCUUUCUCUGCUGCUCUUCCUCCUGGAGCCGUGGAGGCAGCUGGGUGUGGGUGCCUUCCCCGUGGAAAGCCGCUGGCAGGGAGUCUACAGCCCCUUCCGGGACUUUGUGUGUGCUGGCUGCCCCAGGGACCUGCAGGAGGCCCUGCUGGGCUUCGACGUGCAGAGCUCCAGGGAGCUGCGUAGGUCUCAGGAUUACCUGUGCUGCGAGAGGACCCACCCUGAGGACAGUGUGGGCAGUAUGGAAGACAUCCUGGAGGAGCUGCUGCAGCACCGGGAGCCCAAGGCCCUGCAGCUGUACCUCAGGAAGGCUCUGAGCAACUCACUGCACCCCCUGGGAAAGCUGCUCCGGACACUGAUGCUGACCUUCCAGGCUACCUAUGCAGGUGUCGGGGCCAACAAGCACCUGCAGGAGCUGGCCCAGGAGGAGGUGAAGCAGCAUGCCCAGGAACUCUGGGCUGCCUACAGGGGUCUGCUGCGAGUUGCCUUAGAGCGCAAGGGCCAGGCCGUGGAGGAGGAUGAAGACACAGAGACAAGGGACCUCCAGGUGCAUGGAUUGGUGCUGCCCCUCAUGCUGCCCAGCUUCUACUCAGAGCUCUUCACGCUCUACCUGCUGCUUCAUGAGCGGGAGGACAGCUUCUACAGCCAGGGCAUUGCCAACUUGAGCCUCUUUCCUGAUACCCAACUGCUCGAGUUCCUGGAUGUGCAGAAGCACUUGUGGCCCCUCAAGGACCUCACGCUGACGAGCAAUCAGAGGUACUCCCUGGUCAGGGACAAGUGUUUCCUGUCAGCCACCGAGUGCCUGCAGAAGAUCAUGACCACGGUGGACCCACGGGAGAAGCUGGAGGUGCUGGAGAGGACAUACGGGGAAAUUGAGGGCACGGUGUCGAGGGUGCUGGGCCGGGAGUACAAGCUGCCCAUGGACGACCUGCUGCCACUUCUCAUCUACGUGGUGUCGCGCGCCCGAAUUCAGCACCUGGGAGCCGAGAUCCACCUGAUCCGUGACAUGAUGGACCCCAACCACACAGGAGGCCUGUAUGACUUCCUGCUCACAGCCCUGGAGUCCUGUUACGAGCACAUCCAGAAAGAAGACAUGAGGCUGCACCGCUUACCUGGCCACUGGCACUCCAGGGAGCUCUGGUAGCCUGGCCUUUCCUGGACAGACUGCAGAGCUGAGCAGGGCACUGCCAGCCUGUCCCUCAUUACCCAAGGCAAGGGGCAGGAGAGGCCCUCGGAAGCAGCUCUUGGAGGAGAUGAGCAUUUUGUUUUGCACAGGAAGAUGCUGCUGCUGCCCUGACUGGGAUGAGGGUGAGGGGUGACGGGUGUGGCCCUGGAUGUGGUGGUUUUCCCUUGGCCACUAGCCCAUCUUCAAUGACCCCUUAAUCUGCAGCAGCUCACAGGCUGGGGGUGAGGAGUCCCUGGCUUCUCUUAGCCUGAGCCUUUCUCCCAAGUUCCAGAGCCUCUCCGGGCCUCAGUGCUGCCAUCUGUACAAUGGUGGAGUGAGUACGCUGUAAAGGACCUUCCAUUCAUUUUGCUGAAUUCCAGAGUCCUUUUGG
rnacentral:sRNA from 1 species